AAUUCUGUGAAGUACAUGCCCAGACAAAUAAUCCCUUACAGAAGAGGGAUGCCCAUACUCCACUCGUAUUGCACGAGGGAGAGGAAAUUUUUUGAAAUAUUAAACAAAUAAGCACGUUAGCCCCCACAAAUGCUUUUGUGGGGGCUUGAGCAUUGUGAGGGCAGCAGCCCACCACUCCGACCAAGGCCGAAGUGGCGGGGAUAUCCAACUUGGAUUGAUUAGAUCGUCAUCCCCAAAUUGGGCUUAGAUUGCUUGAACAACCCAACCAAAAAUACUUUGGCUAUAUACGGCCAAUCAUAAAGCUUUCACGCAGAUGUAAAUGUUUUAUGAUGCGUGAGUUUUUCAUUUCCGGCAAUUCUCCAAGAAAAUACAUACCUAAAAAAAUUGCGUUACGGUUACGGGUGGGCAUAAGUCAGGUUAGGAGGAUUGAAAAAAUUCUAACCCAAUCGAACCCGCAGAACCACAUAUUGGGUUGGGUUUUGGGAAAAAAGUUUGUCUUCAUAGUCUAAUUUAAAAAUUGUUUAAAAUUAAAAAAUUAUAAAAAUUAAUUAAUUAAUUAGAAAAAACUAAAAAAAAAACACAAACACACACACAAAUAUUAACAUCAUAUAAAAAAUAUACAACAUUUUAGAGUCUAACAAUCAAAUUAUUAGUUCACAAUUAAUGAAGACAAAAACAAAUAAUAAAUUCAAAGUCUUAUUUAACACAAAACACUAAAGUCUAAACAAUAGCAAUCAGUAGGAGUUUGAUAAAGAUUAGUCUAGAUUAAUGGUAUCAAAUUCCGAUGCUAACAAUGACUCUACAAAGCAAUCAAAAUGAAAAUAUUAGGUAUAUAUGUUAUAACAAAUACAUAUAUUUAUCUAACCUAAUUAAUUUACUAAAUUUCAUAUAUUCUCUUCUCCAGAAUGAAGCUAAUUUUGCCCACAUUUCAAGCUCUCCACCAUUUUUGGACUACUCAAAGGAGCUCAAAAUGGAUCAGAGAAUACGCCCUACUGCAGUUAAUGCAGACUUAGAAGCAACUAUAGAUAUUGGGACUGCAAGUAUGUCUUUGACAACAUAAAACAAGAUUUUAUACUUCCUACCAUUUAGCUUCCACUAAUUCAAUAAAUCAAAUGAAUCAUCAAAAAAAAUUUCACGGUCAUCUAAUGAAUAUUUAUCCACUUCAUUUUUAAACUCAACACCAUCCUAGCACCAUCCUCCUCCAAUUUCUUCUUUUUCCAUUUUAAAAGCUUUACUACCUUAGCUAAUCUAUAAUCGAUAUUGUCACUUCUUUUUCUCCAACUCUGGUGACAAAAUGAAAACAAUAGAGGAUUGGCUUUGGCUAUUACUAUCACUUCUAGCAUCAUUAUUUAUGUAAAAUCAUACAAUGAUGACAAUAAAUCCUUAAUCAUUUUUACUAAUUCACACAUGACUUUUUCAUCAUACAACCCUUUAAAACAAAAUUUCACAAAAUUCAAUUUGUAACAUGGAUCAAGCACAACAACAAUAAUUAAAAACUUAUUUAGUGUGUCAAGGGAACCCCAAUAUUUGCUAUACUUCUCUUUUAUCUUCUUGGCCAUUGCACUCGCAUAAGAAUCUUCACUUAGUAUCAAUUCUUUUAACUUUGACUCAAUAAAAAUAUAUAAUGCAUCUCAUGAAAAUAUAAAUGUGAUGUAAUAGGCAAAGAAGCACUCAACUUUUUGGUUAUUUUAUAAAAAUUCUCCAAAAAAUUAUUCAACACACUUCCAUUUGCCCAAUCUCAGUGUUCAAGUGGCCUAAUCCUUUCUUUCCACCAUUUUUCUCUUCAAAAUAAGAUUUAUAAAAUCCAUCGUCAUUCUCCAAUCAUUCAAAAGCAUUCAAGAGCACUCUUUUAUAUCGAAUAGGUGGAAUUCCACUAAGUACGCACAUCCAUCACAACAAAAUAUGUAUAGAAUCAAGUUUUUCAUGCUCAACAUAUUUUAUAAAUCUUAUUAAUUUAGAAGGUGAUGAUAUUAAAUAUUUCUUAGCAUAAUGAAUGUUAGAAUCAGAGUUAUUCAUCUCUUUUAACCCCUUUAGUCACAAUCAAAUUUAUAAUGUGUGCACAACAUCUAACAUGAAGAUAAUCAUCAUUCAACACAAGCCUAUCCCAAUUACUCAACCUCUUUUUAAAAUAAAAAUAGUCAAAUCAUUUGAACUUGCAUUUUCGACAAUAUUUAUAAACACCCUAUCAAUACCCAAUUCAAGCAAGCAAGAUUCAAUCAAUUUUUCAAUUUUAUCCCCUUACGAUUACCGAUAUGUCAAAAGUUUUAUAAUCAUUUUAUGAAGUUGCCACUCAUCAUCAAUAAAAUGGACUGUAAUAACCAUGUAGUUCAAAUUUUAUAUAUUAAAGUCCAACAAUAAGUUGUUAUACAAAAUUCUAUAUAUAUUAGAGGCAAACACAAUUUUCAAGUACAAUUAAUACACAUAUCUAGUAGCAAUUUUCCUGAAAAAAGUAUCAAGUUUUGUACAAACUUUGCUCGUUAGUUUUGAAACUCUUCUUUCUCAAACAAAACUAAGAGACAAUUCAUCAAUCAUUAUCAUCGCAAUGCAUGCUUUUCUAAGUUCCUCUUUCCUACAAGACAGCCACAAGACUUCCGCUACCACCAAAUAUAUUAUCCACCGACACUAAGGUUUUUUUUUUGUUUUUUUUUUUUAAAUCAACUUUUCUGUUAGCAUAGAUUGUGCACACUAGCAAGUGAUUCCAUAAAAGUAUGAGUCUCGAUAAGUCUAGAAUGAUACACAUAUACUUUAAAAUAGUAGUUACACUUACAUUUAGUAUCAUUCUCGAAUUUUGUGUAACAUUG
rnacentral:lncRNA from 1 species